UGGCCAGCAGGUGUUGGCGAGCACCUUGGGCAUGGAGCUCAUCAGCUGAGCAUGAUCACAACCAGUGAGCUCACGGGAAAUGCCCUGCCCAUGUACGAGGCAGGACAGCAUGUGCCAGCCAGGUGGAGGGCUGUGAGGCCUGGAGGGCAUGGCCUGGGCUAGCUGACCUCUGCUGGCCCCGACUGUCAGGACCCUGACCCCCAUACGGGGCUCAUGCUGGGGGGACAAGCUUUGUACAUGUCACAGCACAGGCAGGGCCAUGGAACACAGCGCCUGGGGGCAGGCCAGACAGGACCUCUGUGAGCAGCAGGCCUGUAGGGUGCAGGCACAAGGGCCAGGCAGGCGAGGGAGGAGCAGAGAGGCCUGCCUUCCUGGCAAAGGCUGCGAGAGAGAGAGAAAGAGAAGAACAGAAGGAGAGGGAGAGAGAAUCUCAAGCAGAUGCUACGUGGGGCUCAAUUUCAUGACCCUGAGAUCAUGACCUGAGCCCAAACCAAGGAAGGACAUGUUGAGUGCUGCUUCAUUAUUCAUGAGGAAUGGUGUUGACCCUCUGACCUCUCCAAAUGGCAGGGAGAAAUAAUUCAUAAAGGUGCAAAUGUGAGCAGGGCAGGCCAUCUGAGGCUCAGCUGACCCUGUGCCCCUGGGAGCCCCUCAGCUGGCCACCUUGCAGCUGAACCCUGUCUGCCUCCCCUCAGGGAGCUGGUAAGAGUGGGGAGGCCAUGCAGCAUCUCUGGCAUCACAUUAUUAAGUAAGCAAGACCAUUCAGUAUGUGGUGCAGCGGACACAGACCCCAUGCUCACCCAAGAAGAAAUCGAAUGGGUAUGAACUCUGCUGCAGGGCAGGUGCCAGGGUACAGAAGUGACCAGCACCUAGUUCUUGCCCUCAAAGAACCUGAGGUUCAGGGCGGUGGCCAAAUACACAAAUGACAGAGGCUACAUCUUCCACAAUAAAUGUAUGGAAAAUGUCCUGCA